AGGAAGGGAAUGGAAGCAUGAGGGAAAGAAUGACUCAAGGUCCUGGGACUGUACUAAUGUAGGGGAUCUUUUAUCUCGAUCAGCCUCAUCAAGCAAAGAAGGAUGCUCUGAGCAGCAAUGCUGGCUUAGAAGACACAGUGCCUGCCUCUUUGAGGCUGAAUUUUAAAGAUUUCCUGAUAGCACCUGAAUGAUCCCUGUUUCCCCUUUUACAUUCCUAGGGGGUCGGAAGGACUUCAGAUGGAGAACUGACCACACCAUAGUUCGGAUAGAAAAUGAAGAAGCCCCGUGGAGGACACGUCU